rnacentral:rRNA from 1 species
AUUGAACGCUGGCGGCAUGCCUUACACAUGCAAGUCGAACGGUAACAGGUCUUCGGAUGCUGACGAGUGGCGAACGGGUGAGUAAUGUAUCGGAACGUGCCCAGUCGUGGGGGAUAACUACUCGAAAGAGUGGCUAAUACCUCAUACGACCUGAGGGUGAAAGCGGGGGACCGUAAGGCCUCGCGCGAUUGGAGCGGCCGAUAUCAGAUUAGGUAGUUGGUGGGGUAAAGGCCCACCAAGCAGCAGAUAUGUAGCUGGUCUGAGAGGAAGACCAGCCACACUGGGACUGAGACACGGCCCAGACUCCUACGGGAGGCAGCAGUGGGGAAUUUUGGACAAUGGGCGCAAGCCUGAUCCAGCCAUGCCGCGUGCGGGAAGAAGGCCUUCGGUUUGUAAACCGCUUUUGUCAGGGAAGAAACGGAUUUCUCUAAUACAGAGAUCUAAUGACGGUACCUGAAGAAUAAGCACCGGCUAACUACGUGCCAGCCGCCGCCGUAAAAC